UUUAGGUGCGUCUUGUAGUCACGGAUGCUUGUGUUAGAGAAAAUUGGCUACAGGCAAGGACAGCCUCAGCCUGACAUGUGUUAAUCAUAUGAUUGUUGACUGUUGAGUUGGGGGACUACUGUUUGUUACCCAUUGUACCUGUAGAAUGGACACAAUGCAGUAUCAGAACUUACUUGUUCUAGUAAUUAGGUAAUUUUAUCUCCCUUCUCUCAUUCCAGACUCGGUUGCAAUGGAAGUUGAUGUUCUCGUUUUCCUUGUGUAUGGCAGCUUAAGUGAAGCAUGGAUUUCAACAAAUAAGCGAGUAGGAAACUUGCCAUUAUUGAUUCUACCAGAUAGCACUGCUAUUUUUCCAUUACUAAAUGCAGUUUUGUUUUUAUUGAUAAUUCUAUUUAUUGUAGCUUUUGCAAGCAAGUGACAGCAUUAAUGUUUUGCUAUAAAUAUAAUAUUGCAUUAAUGAAUAUUAUUACAGUCUCCAUGAAUAUGAUUACUUUGUUAUGAAUUAAAGUUUAUGAUAAUUUAGUCUCACAUGAUUAAGUGAGAAACAGGAA
rnacentral:lncRNA from 1 species